UACGUAGGUGGCAAGCGUUGUCCGGAUUUAUUGGGGUUAAAGGGUGCGUAGACGGCCCUGUAAGUCAGUGGUGAAAUACGGCAGCUCAACUGUCGAGGUGCCAUUGAUACUGCAGGGCUUGAGUACAGACGAGGUAGGCGGAAUUGACGGUGUAGCGGUGAAAUGCUUAGAUAUCGUCAAGAACACCGAUAGCGAAGGCAGCUUACUAGACUGUAACUGACGCUGAGGCACGAAAGUGUGGGGAUCAAACAGG
rnacentral:rRNA from 1 species